GAAAGCCUGAUCCAGCAAUGCCGCGUGAGUGAAGAAGGCCUUAGGGUUGUAAAGCUCUUUUACCCGGGAAGAUAAUGACUGUACCGGGAGAAUAAGCCCCGGCUAACUCCGUGCCAGCAGCCGCGGUAAUACGGAGGGGGCUAGCGUUGUUCGGAAUUACUGGGCGUAAAGCGUCCGUAGGCGGCUUUCCAAGUCAGAGGUGAAAUCCCACGACUCAAUCGUGGAACUGCCUUUGAGACUGGUUCGCUUGAAGAUGGGAGAGGUUAGUGGAAUUCCGAGUGUAGAGGUGAAAUUCGUAGAUAUUCGG
rnacentral:rRNA from 1 species